rnacentral:rRNA from 1 species
CAGCAGCCGCGGUAAUACGAAGGGUGCAAGCGUUAAUCGGAAUUACUGGGCGUAAAGCGUGCGUAGGUGGUGGUUUAAGUCCGUUGUGAAAGCCCUGGGCUCAACCUGGGAAUUGCAGUGGAUACUGGGUCACUAGAGUGUGGUAGAGGAUAGUGGAAUUUCCGGUGUAGCAGUGAAAUGCGUAGAGAUCGGAAGGAACAUCUGUGGCGAAGGCGACUAUCUGGGCCAACACUGACACUGAGGCACGAAAGCGUGGGGAGCAAACAGGAUUAGAUACCCCGGUAGUCCCUGUCUCUUAUAC